GGGUUAUUAUAUAUUAAAAUAGCCUCUGCAUCACAAAAACAUAUGAAUAAUAUUGCACGGCUGGAAAUUUUACAAAACUUGUUUCAAUAUAUUGUGAGGUAAAGAGGACGGAGUCAAGAAUUGGAGAAAUCACAGCAAGAAAUCACCGCAAGCCCGCCUGCGCGCCAUCGCCACCGUGAUACCACGGAUUCCAACACAUUUUGUUCUGGUGGCGAAACACGAACGAUAUUGACACUAUUCAUAUCAAAUGAUCGUUGAAGAUAAAUCAGGUUGUGAGUAUUCCAUCAUCAGCUAUUGUCCGGAGCUGGCUACACAAUCCGGUGGCCACACUGUUCUGGCAUCUAACCAGCCAGCAAAUGAAGUUGGUUGUACUGAAAUAAAGAAAAAAAUAUUAACUAGUUUGAUGAUUGUAAAAUGUAAUAAAAUUGUUUUAUUUAAGUGGGUUGUUUAAUUUCCCUAAAUUAACACAUGCAAUAUGUUGAUAUGUUAUAAUAAAAAUAUCAGUUUAAAAUACAUGAACUUGUUUUAUUUAUCUAUCACAAUGUCAAAAAUUAACUCUGCUCAGUGUGGACUUCAACACAGAAAUCAGCAUUCAGUGCAGUGGCAGCGUUAAAAGUGCAUAGAAAUCCAACCAAAGUAGUUGGCAUAGUUUAUUUUGAUAGGUAUAUUAUAUUUUAGUGAUAAUGAUACCUACAAAUUGGAAUAUGAUAUGUCCCACAACAAAGGUACCUAUAUACCUGCCCAUAUUAUUCAAUUAAGUAUCUUCAGUAUUGCUGUGAGUGGCCUUACAGGGUCCUAUGUACAAUGUGCGCAAUUAAUACCUUUUAGUUAGAGCUUGAGA